UGGCAUGAAAAUUUUCAGAAUGACUGAGUGAUGUUUUAAGCUACUUCCCUGCAGGAUGCGGAGUCACUUAGAAAGACUCGGCGAGUGCCCACAGUUGGCGUCGUGCUCGGAGGAAGCGCAGCCUGGUAACGACAGCCCACGAGCCCGUGACACUGCCGUCCCUCCAUCGCUCCGAGCUGGCACCCCGUGGCAGCAAGAAAUCCAGCCUAGGGAUUUACACUCCCCGGUUGUGAGACACUGUUUAAAGUCUGUGGUCCAUGGAUCUACCAACCCACUGAGAAUUUAUGUCACUUCUGGUGAUGUGUGUUCGGCAUGCCAAGGAGGAUAUGAAGACUCAGUUUUGUGAGAAAAUGUAUUAUAAAGAUACUCAUUAGAAUUGAAUUAGAAUUUGAAUGAAUU
rnacentral:lncRNA from 1 species